GGGUUGUGAGGUUAAGCGACUAAGCGUACACGGUGGAUGCCCUGGCAGUCAGAGGCGAUGAAGGACGUGCUAAUCUGCGAUAAGCGUCGGUAAGGUGAUAUGAACCGUUAUAACCGUCGAUUUCCGAAUGGGGAAACCCAGUGCAAUUCGUUGCACUAUCGUUUGAUGAAUACAUAGUCAAACGAGGCGAACCGAGGGAACUGAAACAUCUAAGUACCUCGAGGAAAAGAAAUCAACCGAGAUUCCCCUAGUAGCGGCGAGCGAACGGGGAGCAGCCCAGAGUCUUAAUCAGCAUUAGCAUCAGGAGAACGGUCUGGAAAGGCCGGCAGUAAAGGGUGAUAGCCCCGUAUCCGAAGGUGUUAGUGUUGUGAACUCGACGAGUAGGGCGGGACACGUGUUAUCCUGUCUGAAUAUGGGGGGACCAUCCUCCAAGGCUAAAUACUCCUGACUGACCGAUAGUGAACCAGUACCGUGAGGGAAAGGCGAAAAGAACCCCGGCGAGGGGAGUGAAAAAGAACCUGAAACCGUGUACGUACAAGCAGUGGGAGCACAGAGCAAUCUGUGUGACUGCGUACCUUUUGUAUAAUGGGUCAGCGACUUAUAUUCUGUAGCAAGGUUAACCGAAUAGGGGAGCCGAAGGGAAACCGAGUCUUAACUGGGCGUUAAGUUGCAGGGUAUAGACCCGAAACCCGGUGAUCUAGCCAUGGGCAGGUUGAAGGUUGGGUAACACUAACUGGAGGACCGAACCGACUAAUGUUGAAAAAUUAGCGGAUGACUUGUGGCUGGGGGUGAAAGGCCAAUCAAACCGGGAGAUAGCUGGUUCUCCCCGAAAGCUAUUUAGGUAGCGCCUCGUGAAUUCAUCUCCGGGGGUAGAGCACUGUUUCGGCAAGGGGGUCAUCCCGACUUACCAACCCGAUGCAAACUGCGAAUACCGGAGAAUGUUAUCACGGGAGACACACGGCGGGUGCUAACGUCCGUCGUGAAGAGGGAAACAACCCAGACCGCCAGCUAAGGUCCCAAAGUCAUGGUUAAGUGGGAAACGAUGUGGGAAGGCCCAGACAGCCAGGAUGUUGGCUUAGAAGCAGCCAUCAUUUAAAGAAAGCGUAAUAGCUCACUGGUCGAGUCGGCCUGCGCGGAAGAUGUAACGGGGCUAAACCAUGCACCGAAGCUGCGGCAGCGACGCUUAUGCGUUGUUGGGUAGGGGAGCGUUCUGUAAGCCUGUGAAGGUGUGCUGUGAGGCAUGCUGGAGGUAUCAGAAGUGCGAAUGCUGACAUAAGUAACGAUAAAGCGGGUGAAAAGCCCGCUCGCCGGAAGACCAAGGGUUCCUGUCCAACGUUAAUCGGGGCAGGGUGAGUCGACCCCUAAGGCGAGGCCGAAAGGCGUAGUCGAUGGGAAACAGGUUAAUAUUCCUGUACUUGGUGUUACUGCGAAGGGGGGACGGAGAAGGCUAUGUUGGCCGGGCGACGGUUGUCCCGGUUUAAGCGUGUAGGCUGGUUUUCCAGGCAAAUCCGGAAAAUCAAGGCUGAGGCGUGAUGACGAGGCACUACGGUGCUGAAGCAACAAAUGCCCUGCUUCCAGGAAAAGCCUCUAAGCAUCAGGUAACAUCAAAUCGUACCCCAAACCGACACAGGUGGUCAGGUAGAGAAUACCAAGGCGCUUGAGAGAACUCGGGUGAAGGAACUAGGCAAAAUGGUGCCGUAACUUCGGGAGAAGGCACGCUGAUAUGUAGGUGAAGUCCCUCGCGGAUGGAGCUGAAAUCAGUCGAAGAUACCAGCUGGCUGCAACUGUUUAUUAAAAACACAGCACUGUGCAAACACGAAAGUGGACGUAUACGGUGUGACGCCUGCCCGGUGCCGGAAGGUUAAUUGAUGGGGUUAGCGGUAACGCGAAGCUCUUGAUCGAAGCCCCGGUAAACGGCGGCCGUAACUAUAACGGUCCUAAGGUAGCGAAAUUCCUUGUCGGGUAAGUUCCGACCUGCACGAAUGGCGUAAUGAUGGCCAGGCUGUCUCCACCCGAGACUCAGUGAAAUUGAACUCGCUGUGAAGAUGCAGUGUACCCGCGGCAAGACGGAAAGACCCCGUGAACCUUUACUAUAGCUUGACACUGAACAUUGAGCCUUGAUGUGUAGGAUAGGUGGGAGGCUUAGAAGUGUGGACGCCAGUCUGCAUGGAGCCGGCCUUGAAAUACCACCCUUUAAUGUUUGAUGUUCUAACGUUGGCCCCUGAUCGGGGUUGCGGACAGUGUCUGGUGGGUAGUUUGACUGGGGCGGUCUCCUCCUAAAGAGUAACGGAGGAGCACGAAGGUUGGCUAAUCCUGGUCGGACAUCAGGAGGUUAGUGCAAUGGCAUAAGCCAGCUUGACUGCGAGCGUGACGGCGCGAGCAGGUGCGAAAGCAGGUCAUAGUGAUCCGGUGGUUCUGAAUGGAAGGGCCAUCGCUCAACGGAUAAAAGGUACUCCGGGGAUAACAGGCUGAUACCGCCCAAGAGUUCAUAUCGACGGCGGUGUUUGGCACCUCGAUGUCGGCUCAUCACAUCCUGGGGCUGAAGUAGGUCCCAAGGGUAUGGCUGUUCGCCAUUUAAAGUGGUACGCGAGCUGGGUUUAGAACGUCGUGAGACAGUUCGGUCCCUAUCUGCCGUGGGCGCUGGAGAACUGAGGGGGGCUGCUCCUAGUACGAGAGGACCGGAGUGGACGCAUCACUGGUGUUCGGGUUGUCAUGCCAAUGGCACUGCCCGGUAGCUAAAUGCGGAAGAGAUAAGUGCUGAAAGCAUCUAAGCACGAAACUUGCCCCGAGAUGAGUUCUCCCUGACUCCUUGAGAGUCCUGAAGGAACGUUGAAGACGACGACGUUGAUAGGCCGGGUGUGUAAGCGCAGCGAUGCGUUGAGCUAACCGGUACUAAUGAACCGUGAGGCUUAACCUUACAACGCCGAAGCUGUU
rnacentral:rRNA from 1 species